GCUGUAUAAUCCAAUGCAUAGCCAAACAGAAUACUGUUAUACCUGGCAAGUGGUCAGUCAGUCGGGUUUACUUGAAGAUAUCUAAGGAAGGGAGACCAAUCAGGCUCUCCAAGUUACAACAUGCAGCGUAACUGUAGCUCAGCCAUCAUUCAUGUGGUCAUCUGAUCUGUGGAAAAUUGAGAGUAAAUAGUAGCUGGAGCCAAACAAAGUGAAAGAAUGAUAGGCACCAAGUUUCCAGACUCAACCAGUAUACAUCUGAGGAGAAGAGGAGGAAGAAGACGGGG